AACGUAGGAGACAAACGUUAUCCGGAGUUACUGGGCGUAAAGGGCGUGUAGGCGGUCUGUUAAGUCUGGCGUGAAAGCUCUCGGCUAAACCGGGAGAGGUCGUUGGAUACUGGCAGACUAGAGGACGGUAGAGGCGUGUGGAAUUCCGGGUGUAGCGGUGGAAUGCGUAGAGAUCCGGAAGAACACCGGAGGCGAAGGCGGCGUUGCGUGGGCUCGGUCGUGACGGCUG
rnacentral:rRNA from 1 species